UAUAAUACAUGUGAUACCCAACUUAUUUGAUAUCAAACGGAUCCUAGUAUAUCACUAGGUAUUUAACGUACGCGUUUGUCAGUUUGCAGAGUUUAAAGUUACCGUAGAUUUCAUGCUCGCUGCCUACCAGCUUCGCGGAGAUGUCAAAAUUCGAACAAGAAAACCGACAAUUUUUCUAAGACUGCGGUCUUAUUUCCUUAAAAAAUUUUUAACAAGUCGUUUCUAUCUCAUUCUUUACCCAAGGUGAGAAUCGUACGGUUUAACGAUCAUUGGCGGCCUUUUAUAGGUUUACACGAAUCGUUUCAUCCUGCAGAUGACAUUGCGCACCUCGCAUUUAAUGAAACAAA